rnacentral:lncRNA from 1 species
AUGUCUUUUUCCAGUGAAUAUAGGGUUUUUGUAUGGACAGUUUUGACAUACUACAUAUAGAAUACAGGGGCGGAUCCAGGAUUUUGCAAAGUGGGGCGAAGUUUUUUAAAUUCGCCGAGCGGAGCGAGGCGAACAAAUUUUGGGACCUUUUUUUGGCUAAAAAACAUAAAAUAAGUGUAAAAUGCACUUUUUAAACGGUUCUUGACGUGGGGCAUGUAUAUUUAAUAGUUGCUGUUAAGUGUAAGAGUUGGACAUUUUUGAUGUUGUAUUCUCCCCAUAAAUUGUCUAUCAUAAAAUUAUAGUAUGGGUCAAAAGCUAUGAACUGAUAUAUUUGAUGUGGGACUUGUCAGUAAAAAAAUUGACAUGGAAAAUUCUCGCUUGUUGUAUGUUAAGUUAGCAUAAACUCACAGAUUUCUUGUUGUAAACAAGAUACACGCCGCGCUAUUCGAUGAAUUUUACAAUACGAGCGACACGAGUUAAAAAAGACAAACAAGCAAUUUUUAUACAAAUGUUUGGUUGAUAUGUUUUACCCAAC